CAACUGGAUCUGGAAGUUUCAAACUAUAGCAUUAAGUACAUUCUUUUAUAUGUGUGUGCUUGUUGAACAAGAAUAAUGGUGAAAUGUUGGGGAUAAAGUAGGGCUCACAUGGAUUGCAGGCACCUGUCAUACCUGAGGCUGUUGAGGUUUUCAUAUAAUUACAGAAUAUCCAAGUGCCUCCUUACUCUAUACUGGAGCCUUCUACUCCAGGGUUAGUAGACCACAUAAAUGUUCCCCAUUGCACCCAAAUGAAUCUGUAAAGCAGCGGUUCUCAAAGGGUGUGGCUAGAAGAUUCAAGGACAAUCAAAUAUUUAAACAUUUCAGUGUAGUAUAGUAUCAAAAAAAUUUUAUUUGCAGACUAUGGAUAAAUAUAUUUACAAAAACACUAAUUUGAGUUUCUUUUCCCCCAAUGUAUUUCUUGCCAAACAAUUUGGUAUGGCGUGAGCAAGUUUUUAUUCUGGAAGUGUGGCCGAAAGAAAAACAUUUUAGAACCACUGGUUCAGUUGUAGGCCAUUCUCAGAGUCCUGUGACUGAAGGGUGGCUUACAGAGUGACGAACAACAAAAUAAAGGAUGUGAUACCUUGAAGCCAUCAAGCCACACAGGCCAUUGCUGGUAGCUGUUUUUGUCAAGCUCCUCAACAAAGAUGGGGUAAUCAUACUUCAGCCAUUGGGCCCCAAAGUAACAUGCCCCAGGUGGAUUGAAGCAGAAUUGGGCAAUUGUCAAGCCAGACCAUGGUAAGUUCAUGCCUCUGUCCAAUGCAAACUGGAAUACCACAGAGUUUAGAUGUCAGUCUGGAUAAGAGCACUGUACACACACACACACACACACACACACACAGCCAAGGCUUAAUUUGCUCACAAACAUGAAAGACUAAAUUUGUUUCUCAACUAUACCAUUUCAAAUUACUCUGACAUGCCAGUUUUCUGUGAGCAGGGAAUUUUUGUCCUUAGCAGUAUGAAGUAAUACAGCUAAGAAAGUCAACUUGUUUAGAAAAUUAAGAAUACUAGUGGUUGUCUUCAGAAGUUGAUAAAUGCCUGUUAAUCAACAUGUACCUAAAGGCACAGCAACAGACCAGGUUAAAGGUUGAUAACUAUUUUCAAGUGCAGAAAUUUCUUAAGACUGGUUAUAAGGAGGCAGAAUUCCUUAUUUCCAUAUCUCUGUAUAGUAUUCUAUCCCAGUCAUGUAUAAAAUUUUGUGUUAAACAGGGCAUUUCUGUGAAUGUGAUAGCUAUUCACCUUGAUGCCAUAGGUGGGAAUGUAUCUGGAGACAUAGGUGAGGCUGAAAGGCUGUGGACUGCUGCCUGGCACCCGGGUUAGUUUCUGAUGGAUCCAAGUGACAAUCUCCUCAUCUGUGCUUAAACUCUUAGGACCUUCAAGCUGGUGAACUAUUUCCCGCACUGAAACAACAGACCUGUGUGAAACAAAAAGCUGUUUUUGCUGUGGCCCACAGUUAUGGAAUUCUAUAAUUAUUUCCUACCAAAGUGUGUUGAUGCAUGGGGCGAGACCCUUGGCUCACCCUUCUGUUAAUCUGAUUUGAAUGUAAGAUGGACUGUUGUUUUGUAAGGUUCCUUCUGCCCUUUGAUUAAAAAAAAAAUCCAA